rnacentral:misc_RNA from 1 species
UCAGACCUCUACCUUCACCAUGAGG